UACGAAGGGUGCAAGCGUUACUCGGAAUCACUGGGCGUAAAGCGUGCGUAGGCGGUUCGUUAAGUCUGCUGUGAAAGCCCUGGGCUCAACCUGGGAACUGCAGUGGAUACUGGCGGACUAGAGUGUGGUAGAGGAUGGUGGAAUUCCCGGUGUAGCGGUGAAAUGCGUAGAGAUCGGGAGGAACACCAGUGGCGAAGGCGGCCAUCUGGAUCAACACUGACGCUGAGGCACGAAAGCGUGGGGAGCAAACAGGG
rnacentral:rRNA from 1 species